rnacentral:pre_miRNA from 1 species
AUGUGACACUUUUCGGAUUUCGAGAUUCAAACAAGUCUAACUUUGACCAUUAAAUUUUCAUAGAUUCUUUUAAACUAUUUUGAAUUAUCAAUUGUUGUGACUUAUAGUACUUUUUACGUAGUUUACAAAUAUAUAAAUUUCAUUUCAAAAAAAUUGAAGAUUUCAUGCGCAAAUUCCUGGUCAAACUUAAACUGUUUGACUCUUGAAAAACGAAAAGUGCCACAUAA